rnacentral:rRNA from 1 species
AUUGAACGCUGGCGGCAGGCCUAACACAUGCAAGUCGAGCGAGCGGCGGACGGGUGAGUAAUGUCUGGGAAACUGCCUGAUGGAGGGGGAUAACUACUGGAAACGGUAGAUAAUACAGCAUACCAUCAGAUGUGCCCAGAGGGGAUUAGCUAGUAGGUGGGGUAACGGCUCACCUAGGCGACGAGCCCUAGCUGGUCUGAGAUGCUGACCAGCCACACUGGGACUGAGACACGGCCCAGACUCCUACGGGAGGCAGCAGUAGGGAAUAUUGCACAAUGGGCGCAAGUCUGAUGCAGCCAUGCCGCGUGAGUGAAGAAGGUCUUCGGAUUGUAAAGCUCUGUCGGCGGGGAGGCGGUACCCGCAGAGGAAGCACCGGCUAACUCCGUGCCAGCAGCCGCGGUAAUAC